rnacentral:lncRNA from 1 species
GCUGGGAGUGGUGGUUCUCUGAGCCCACCAGCGUUUUCCGGUACCUCGCACUGUUCUCAAGGCCGAUCCUGAGGAGCCAUGAGCAAAGAGAGGUAUAAUGCUCGCUUACACUGGAAGAGCAUGGGGAAGGAGAGAGGGUAAUAAUGGUAUGAGAUAGAAUUACAUUGAUACGUUUGACAUUUUAAAUAAAAAUCUCAAAAUAUCUACAAA